GCUCUCCCUAUUACUGGCGGCCAUCUUGGAUUUGUCAAGAAGUAGAAAGUAGUCCUUUCUCGUGAUUAAGUAUUUUUCAUCACUUGCAGUUAGCAUGAUAUUCCCGUCGCUACGAGCGCUUCGUGUGCGAGGUCCAUCUCUUGUUCGUCAGAUGGCAAGCAAUCCUACUGCUGAAGAUCUUGGCUUGAAAGGAUGGCAAGUUUACUUUAAUGCCUACACAACUGAAGGAAGAAGAAAUAUUGUUGUUGCAACAUAUGGUACGUUCUUUGCCAUAAUGUUUUACUACAAGUCAAAGAAGUCCAAGGCACCCAAAGAAACGAAUGCUGCAUAAAUUGCUGGUCUACUCAAUCAUUGUAUUUAUUCUAGGUAUUUCUGGUUUGUAAAGGAUUUUCUAGAAUUUGGUUGUGUAUUGAAGUUUAUCGACUGAAAUAAAGGAUUUUGACUUGUA